AUACGGAGGGGGUUAGCGUUGUUCGGAAUUACUGGGCGUAAAGCGCACGUAGGCGGAUUGGAAAGUUGGGGGUGAAAUCCCAGGGCUCAACCCUGGAACUGCCUCCAAAACUAACAGUCUAGAGUUCGAGAGAGGUGAGUGGAAUUCCAAGUGUAGAGGUGAAAUUCGUAGAUAUUUGGAGGAACACCAGUGGCGAAGGCGGUUCACUGGCUCGAUACUGACGCUGAGGUGCGAAAGCGUGGGGAGCAAACAGGAUUAGAAACCCUAGUAGUCC
rnacentral:rRNA from 1 species